ACAAAAGUCCAAUAAAAACCGUGCUUGUGCAGUGAAGUCAUUCUCGUGUAUUUCCAGCUGCCGGUGAAGCAAGCUCAACUCAGAGAAGGUGAUGAUGAAACACUCCGUGGUCUUAAUUUUGGUGGCUUGCAUUGUACUUCUGCAUUCAUUGGAGCCAGCGGACGCUAGCUCUAUAACCAGGCGCAGUAGCUGUGCGGAAUGUUACGCCGCCGCAAAGGAUUGUUGGGAUGCAUGCUACGGAAACUACUGUGAGAAUUGCGCUUCUCAUCAGAACUACUGCGACCAACACUGCUGACCCUUGAUUAAAGACAAGCGCCGACACGAGGCGCGGCUCGUAUGCGACUUGGUUCGUCAUCAAAGACGUUGUCAAAAAAUAAUAUACAGUAUAUCACUGGACGAAAUAAACGAAUGUUAACAAA